CUUUACCUUGUCACACGGAGUUCACAAUCACUAUGAACCGGACCGAAAUGACUACAAAUAUUUUGCAAUGCUUUAUUGCGUAUGAUUUAUAUUUUCCAAACUAGUAAUCAGCUGAACUUAGUACUUGUUCGAACUGCGUCAUCUGUAAGAGAGGAUCUGUGAUCAAUUCUUGGUCAUGUGCGAUACACGUAUUGCUACAAACUGCACAAUUUGAUUGUAGAAGGGAUUAAAUUGAAAUGAAGAAACCACGACUGAUCUGACCCUGUACAUCCUAGCAUUGGUAUGCAUAUUAUCCCUACUGUUUCCCAUACAUUUCUUGAGAUGGUGAUAAGGAGAAUUUGUUCGACUAUCAAGAGUUUAAAGUUGGUAAUUACGUCUGUUAUCAGUCUCGUGGCCUUAAUGUUUUAAUCAGUGCUGAUAGAGAAAUUGGAGAAUAAUUUUAUCUUUGGAGAGUGUCUCCCUGUUGAUGUAGGUUGGGUAAUACCGCAUAUAGCGGGAUCUUAAACGGUUAGUAAUUCAAAUAAGGGCGUAGUUUGUAAUUUGGAAAUGUGCCCUCUUUGUUGAAAGGAAAGGCCCGUGGAAAAUCUUGAGUAGGGACCAUUAAGCGUUUGGAGAAGAAAAAGUAAACAUUAAUGAACUAACUUUCAGCAUAAAUUUGCGAGACAUAAGGGAAGCUGUGAGUGUGUGUGCCUGUAUAGCCUUUCUUGUUUUAGGGUGUCGCUGGGAGAUUGUGCAAAAAUCGUGGGCUCCCCGCCGAAAUACAAAAGCCCGAAUGUAAGUUGUAAAUGUGUACGUGAUGGUGUUUCAGAACUGGACCCUCUGGGAACCGAAAAGAUUGACGUAAGGCUGACACAUUUAGGAUACGUAUCGACAGGAAGCACGCGAUGUAAAAUUACUUUGACGUAAGGUAUUUCAACAAACUGCACCUUAAUGUGAGGUUUCUUGAGUGCAGACUUCGAAGCGUUGUCGAUUAUCUAAACUUUUCUUUAACUACGUAAUUGCGUUUCGGAGGGAUCACCUUAGAGCUAAAGCAACUGGAAGAAUCAGACGGUCAGUUGACAGUGGCUUAUGGCAGGUGUUGGAUAGUGGUGAGCCAGCACAUUUUUCUUGAUUACCACAAGAAACAGAGGAAGAAGGUGUAUUCCAGCAUUUGUGCAGAAAAAUCCAUCUGGAAAACUCUUUUGGACUCCUCAGACACUUCUCUCUUUAAUUUUCUGAUUGCUAAAGGAUGUUUUUUAGGCACUAUAUAUAUGUGGUCUCAGGUUCCCAGCAUAACCUUUACCCUGGAUACAACUUUAUGGAGCUCUUAUAAGGAUUCAGAGUUGUAACAGUUGUUCCCUGCCCUAAACUGACCCAAAAUGCACAGACUACAGAAGGCUGACAGACUAGCCAAAGUUUUCAUAUGAGAAAAAUUUGUUCUGCCUGAUAGGGUCACCCUACUGCCAACUGGGGUAGGAGAACAUGCCCUCCUAAGUUAUCUUGUCCUCUAAAAUGAGUUUGCCAUUUACAAGUAAGUUGGUUGAAUUUUUCAAAGAAAUAAAUGAAAAGUUAGCUGGCCAGGGUAACUCAAGGUAGGAUUGUCUUGGGAACCAGAGACCAUGUAGGUGGGCCUUUAUGUCUGGUGUGGUGUAGUUGUAACACAGUUUUCAGAAACUUUAAUAAACUUACAUUACUAACUCUUGCUUGAAAAGUUCAGUUUAACUUUGUAUAAUAAGUUGAUUCAAAACAAGGGUAUAACCUUAAAAAGAAAAUAAUGGGGGGUUUCACUAGGCCAUAAAAAGAGUUUUAAAUUAACCUUUUUUUCCAAAAAAAUGAGAUAAAAAUUUCUACUUGAAUUAAUAAGAAUGGGUGAUUUCUUUUUGUGGGGGAGGGCAGGUUUGAUGGGUAACUGACUUUGAAAUCUAAGUGAAAGCAACUGUUAUAUUUGUGUUGGUAAAUAAUUGUGGCCAUAUGUGACUAUCUAUCAUCUCUCCAUGCUGAUUGUGUUUUUGAUUCACCAAUGCAAGACUUUGCAUCAGUCUUACAUUUCCCAAUUUCAACUGAUCUUGAGGGAGUUCCACAAGACCCAGGACAGCAAUUCAGUAUUCAGUAUCAGUAUUCCUUGACCUCUGUGAAUUUGCACAACUAUCUGAACCCUGUUUCAGAGGGAGAUGAAUGAGAAGGAGCCAAGUCUUUGGAAGCAAUUUCUAAUAUGGAAAUGAAGCAGGGUGAAGUUCAGGGUAUUCAUUUUUAUCCAGAAUCCAGAACAGACUCUGCACAUCUGUUAAGUGGGAAAGUCAUGUCACUAUACCCUGUGCACAGAGGGUAACUUCAUGUUCCUGCUGUCUUUGGGUGAAGAGUAUACCAAGUGUCUAAUGAAAUAGUAUUUUGAGAUAGUUCAAGGGGAAUUGUUACAGAAAGAUCCAAUGAAGUCGCUAACAAUUUUCUUUUUUCAGGCUGUAAUAUAGAAACUACCAGUAGUUGUUAUUGAUACUUUUUAAUUGUCAUUGUAAAACAAGAAAGAUUUUAAUAAAAAGUUAUUUUAUUUGGUUCU
rnacentral:misc_RNA from 1 species